rnacentral:lncRNA from 1 species
AUGGACAUACUGGUGGGCAAAGGUGCAUGCAUCUGCAGGAAAACCACCUCUUUGUGCUUUGAAUUUUUCUCGAAGCUUUGGGAAUUAUCACAUUUUUAUCUUCGUUUUAUUUUUUGCCCCAUGUUGCAUUUCCAAGUAAAUUGUGAGGCAUCACUGCUUUCUGUCUUUCACAUUUUAGGCUACAAUUAUUACUUGCAUUCACCAAGUAUUGAGCUAAAAACUAGUAUCAAUGAGUCUAAUCACUCAUUCAUAAAGUUCCUUCAUCAAGUAUUGUUGAGCACCUACUAUUGUCAGUCAACAGAAUAUAAUCUUUGACCUUGUGGGAUUUAGAAUUUAGGAAGGGGGAAUUCCCGUCAUGGCUCAGCAGAAAUGAAUCUGACUAGGAUCCAUGAGGAUGCAGGUUCAAUCCCUGGCCUUCCUUAGUGGAUUAAGGAUCCAGGGUUGCUGUGAGCUAUGGUGUAAGUUGCAGAUCUCACAUUGCUGUGGUUGUGGCGUAGGCCAGCAGCUGUAGCUCCAUUUAGACCCCUAGCCUGGGACCCUCCAUACGCCAUGCAUGUGGCCCCCAAAAAAAAAAAUUUAGGAAGGGAUAAAAAGGGUCAUUCACUUGCUCAGAGUCAUCUAGCAUAUAUGUGUAGGUAGUAUCAUGCUGUGGCCUUAUUAUUAUUUUUUUUUAAAGGAGGCUGUUUCUUUUCCAGUCAUCAGAAAGUGGGAACUUUGAGGCUGUGUUCAUUUCCUCUUGGUCCUGUGCAAUAGAACCGUUUCUUCCCGGUUUCCUUGGACAAUGCAGGAGACGUGCCAACUGAGUAUUUUCCAUAGUCUUUCAUUUUUCUCAACUUCCUUUUUUAGGCUGUAUCUCUAGUUCUGAAAGUUUCCUUCCAUAAAGCACUUUUCUACAUUCCAUACCAGAUAAUGUCACUGAUUGUAUCUUUUAUGUCUUUUGUUUUGUUUUGUUUUGUUUUGUCUUUUCAGGGCUGCAUCCACGGCAUAUGGAGGUUCCCAGGCUAGGGGUCUAAUCGGAGCUACAGCUGCCAGCCUACACCACAGCCACAGCAGCGCCAGAUCCGAGCCACGUCUGCAACCUACCCCACAGCUCAAGGCAACGGCAGAUCCUUAACCCACUGAGCAAGGCCAGGGAUUGAACCCGCAACCUCAUGGUUCCUAAUCGGAUUUGUUUCUGCUUCGCCACAAUGAGAACUCCUGUAUCUUUUAUUUCUGAUUUUCUGGCACCAAUGCCUAUUAGUUGUAUUAGUAGAUCCAUAUAAAUGUAUACACAUUAAAAAAUAAGACAUGUUGUUUCAGAUGGCUCUUAUAUGGC